GUACUGCUGAGGAGUCCCACAAUAGAACAAAACAACUGUCUAGUAU
rnacentral:hammerhead_ribozyme from 1 species